UGGCCCGGAUGAACAUCAACAGGCUUCAGGGCUUCUCGUUGGUUACCCCCUGCUUCUCUUGAUUACUAAGGUCUUCUUGGGCAUUGACCCGCCGAAGAAUAGGUUCGGCCUUCAAGGGUCCUCAAGGAUUAGCCCCUGCUUCUUAGUAACGAAGGUUACUAUUGCUCAUUGGGAGAAGAAUCAUCGUGACUAGUCAAAUGUCUUCCUGAAAUUGAAGCAUCCAUUCAAGGCAUGCCUUGGGACUCUUUCUACCAUAAUGGCAGAU
rnacentral:lncRNA from 1 species